rnacentral:rRNA from 1 species
GACGAACGCUGGCGGCGUGCCUAACACAUGCAAGUCGAGCGAGUUGAUUCUCUUCGGAGAUGAAGCUAGCGGCGGACGGGUGAGUAACACGUGGGCAACCUGCCUCAUAGAGGGGAAUAGCCUCCCGAAAGGGAGAUUAAUACCGCAUAAGAUUGUAGCUUCGCAUGAAGUAGCAAUUAAAGGAGUAAUCCGCUAUGAGAUGGGCCCGCGGCGCAUUAGCUAGUUGGUGAGGUAACGGCUCACCAAGGCGACGAUGCGUAGCCGACCUGAGAGGGUGAUCGGCCACAUUGGGACUGAGACACGGCCCAGACUCCUACGGGAGGCAGCAGUGGGGAAUAGUGCACAAUGGGGGAAACCCUGAUGCAGCAACGCCGCGUGAGUGAUGACGGCCUUCGGGUUGUAAAGCUCUGUCUUCAGGGACGAUAAUGACGGUACCUGAGGAGGAAGCCACGGCUAACUACGUGCCAGCAGCCGCCGCGG